UCUCCACUGAAUCACACUGGGAGAUUACUUCCAGAGCUACUUACAAAUGACACUGAGCUCAUAGAGAGGGUUUGUGGCAAAGCAACUGCUGAGUUCACUUCUGAGGCAUUGUGUGUAUGUGACCCAUUGACCCACCUAUUCCCUGUAUUACUCUUAACUGUGUAUUUCAAGGAGGUGGUGUCCUUCGUCUUGGAGGACCAUACUCUGCUUCCUCCAGCAUGGGAAGAUUGGCAGAAGUCACCAUCACAUUUCAUGGAGCUGAGUCUAGAGGAAGGUGAACUUGAGUUUUGUUUAAGAAGGCUGAAUUUCUUCUUUAGCCCUAUGAAAGAUCAUCUUAAGUCAGCAUCAGUAGUUUCAGCAUCCUCCAGAGCCACAGGAACGGUCGUCUUAAAGGAAUUUAUUCUAACCACAUCACUUAAUACAAUGGUUUCUAAGUAGCAAGGAAAAAAACCAAAACCACGGCACCUCAGUGGAACAAGCUGGCAGAUGUUGACCUUUUACCCAUAACUAUGAUGCCUGUAAUGCUUCUGCAGGAGGGAGCAUUCUAGCCUUACAAGUGUUAAAUAAAUAGGAAUGGCAAACAUGGCA
rnacentral:lncRNA from 1 species